UACGAAGGGUGCAAGCGUUACUCGGAAUUACUGGGCGUAAAGCGUGCGUAGGUGGUUCGUUAAGUCUGAUGUGAAAGCCCUGGGCUCAACCUGGGAAUGGCAUUGGAAACUGGCGACCUAGAGUGCGGUAGAGGGUAGUAGAAUUCCCGGUGUAGCAGUGAAAUGCGUAGAGAUCGGGAGGAACAUCCGUGGCGAAGGCGACUACCUGGACCAGCACUGACACUGAGGCACGAAAGCUAGGGGAGCAAACGGG
rnacentral:rRNA from 1 species